GACGAACGCUGGCGGCGUGCUUAACACAUGCAAGUUGAACGGAAAGGCCCCCUUGUGGGGUACUCGAGUGGCGAACGGGUGAGUAACACGUGAGUAACCUACCCUUGACUUUGGGAUAACUUCAGGAAACUGGGGCUAAUACCGGAUAGGAGCUCCUGCUGCAUGGUGGGGGUUGGAAAGUUUCGGCGGUUGGGGAUGGACUCGCGGCUUAUCAGCUUGUUGGUGGGGUAGUGGCUCACCAAGGCUUUGACGGGUAGCCGGCCUGAGAGGGUGACCGGCCACAUUGGGACUGAGAUACGGCCCAGACUCCUACGGGAGGCAGCAGUGGGGAAUAUUGCACAAUGGGCGGAAGCCUGAUGCAGCAACGCCGCGUGCGGGAUGACGGCCUUCGGGUUGUAAACCGCUUUCGCCUGUGACGAAGCGUGAGUGACGGUAAUGGGUAAAGAAGCACCGGCUAACUACGUG
rnacentral:rRNA from 1 species